GUCCACGCCGUAAACGGUGGGCGCUAGGUGUGGGGAACAUUCCACGUUCUCCGUGCCGCAGCUAACGCAUUAAGCGCCCCGCCUGGGGAGUACGGCCGCAAGGCUAAAACUCAAAGGAAUUGACGGGGGCCCGCACAAGCGGCGGAGCAUGCGGCUUAAUUCGAUGCAACGCGAAGAACCUUACCUAGGCUUGACAGUUAGUGAAAUCCGGCAGAGAUGUCGGGUCCGCAAGGGCACUAAAACAGGUGGUGCAUGGCUGUCGU
rnacentral:rRNA from 1 species